CCGCGGGCCUAUUGGGCAGACGCGUUCAUGGCCAACGACGUCCCCGGCCGUGCUUCCCAGGUGGACGGCUUCAACCAGCACGUCCAGCACGCAUACCCAGCCACUCCGGCCGGAUUGAAUCAGCGAGAAUCCAUCGAAGGGUAUGUAUUCUCAGUACAUGAUUUGCUCGACAGUGGAGAUGGCAUGCGUCCCCACAAGUCUCGACGACGGAGGACAUGCGGCUGGCAGCGGAGGAUGGAGACGACAUGCAGGCAAUGACGGCUAGACGACGAGAAGAUGAGAUGCAUACUGCUGCACUGCCACGCUGGAUACCUGAGUUGAAUGCUCAUCUUCCGCUAGCGACUUCAUCCGUUACAGACUAUUUGAAAUAGCACGGUUAUGGCUGAUGCAUUGCGCCGAUGGCCAUAUGGAAUACACCCCUUUAAAUUCAUGAUUUUCCUUAGCAAAUUGUACUCCUUUUGAAGUAACAUAUGCCAUCUAAAUAAUUCUGCACUCCUUUGCAAAAUCUAGAAUAUAUGAGUGCAGUUACUCGACCA